UUAUGCAGCAGUAUCUUUGCUUAAUAGUACCUAAACACCUAUCUCAUCUUGGAAAUUAAGCAGGUUCAGAUCUGGUUAGUACCUGAAUUGGAGACCACCAAUGAAUAAGAGAUGCUUCAGGCU
rnacentral:rRNA from 11 species